GGUUGGUCCUUGUGCAGUGGUGUUUACAACUAAUUAGUCACAACCAGUUACAGAUUCCUUUGUUCCUUCUCCACUCCCACUGCUCAAUUACUCUCACUCUUC
rnacentral:Y_RNA from 1 species